GACGAACGCUGGCGGCGUGCUUAACACAUGCAAGUCGAACGGAAAGGCCUCUUUCGGGGGGUACUCGAGUGGCGAACGGGUGAGUAACACGUGAGUAGCCUGCCCUUGACUUUGGGAUAACUUCAGGAAACUGGGGCUAAUACCGGAUAGGAGCUCCUGCUGCAUGGUGGGGGUUGGAAAGUUUCGGCGGUUGGGGAUGGACUCGCGGCUUAUCAGCUUGUUGGUGGGGUAGUGGCUUACCAAGGCUUUGACGGGUAGCCGGCCUGAGAGGGUGACCGGCCACAUUGGGACUGAGAUACGGCCCAGACUCCUACGGGAGGCAGCAGUGGGGAAUAUUGCACAAUGGGUGGAAGCCUGAUGCAGCAACGCCGUGUGCGGGAGGACGGCCUUCGGGUUGUAAACCGCUUUCGCUCAUGACGAAGCUUUGUGUGACGGUAGUGGGUAAAGAAGCACCGGCUAACUACGUG
rnacentral:rRNA from 1 species